GCGAUUGGACAGGGGCCAUGGAGAGGAACCUGGGAGCUGUGCUGGGGAUUCUGUGGGUGCAGACUUGCUGGGUGAGAGGAGAUACUGUGAUGCAGAGUCCUUCAGCCCUGAGUCUCCACGAGGGAAUCAGUUCUGUUCUGAGAUGUAAUUUUUCUAUCACCAUGACAUCUGUGCAGUGGUUCCGACAGAAUCCCACGGGCAAGCUCAUCAAUCUUUUUUACCUGGUUCCAGGAACAAAGGAGAUCGGGAGGUUAAAGUCAACAUUCAACUCUAAGGAGCAACACAGCACCCUGCACAUCAGAGAUGCCCAGCUGGAGGACUCAGGCACCUACCUCUGUGCUGCUGAGGCACAGUGCUUUCAGCCAGCCUACAGCCUGGCCACAAACUACAGCUGUGCAGCUAAGGCCCCAGUCACAGGCAGACUGCAGGAGGCUUUGCACAGCUGGGGCCUUAUCAGAUCUCCACCAAUUACAGAGAAGAUGUAA